AUACAAUACAGCGGAGGCGUCGUUGGAAUCUCCACGAUAUGAAGGCCUACGUCGCUAUUGCUCAGCAUAAUUACCAGCUCCCAAUUUCAUAUUAUUUGUCAGAACUUAAUAAAUUAAAAAAAAAAAUUAAUACGUUUUCAUCUUUUAUUUGUGGUAUGAAU